ACGAGCACCUUCACGAGAGACAACAUAACAACUUUGUCAAUUUGUACUUAGAGUAUUUUAUGCAGAAGAAAUUUAAUAAACAACUUAACUUUUCAACAAGUCAAAUGAUUUUGUCAAAUCUACCUGAGAAAUCCUUUACCAACGGUCUUGCUACCUGAAUCCUAUAAACUAAGCAGUUAUUUCAAUUGCUAGUUUAUAACAAAUCAGAUGAAGAGCAUGUCAUGUUAAAUGAUGUUGUUAAUAGUCCAGAAUACCGGAAUAUUAGUUUUGAAAAUAAUUCCAAUGAACAAGUUGUUGCCAAUAAAUAUAAGCAACAGCAAAAGGCAAAACACACAUAAUAUUUCAAUUGCAGAAAGAGAUGAUCUUGAUGAACACUUGUUUAGUAGACCAAUAGGACACAAUAUAACUGUUAGUAAUGGUACCAUAAAGAAAAAUAGUUAGGCGGCUUAUAAUAAUAUGUCCAACUCGACAGAAUUCGUUCAUAAUAUAAAUGAUCUAUUGCAAUCUCAAAACCAACUAUUGAGAAAUAUAACAUUCUUAAAAUAUGAGUUGAAACAAGUAUUAAGCAAUCAGACGGUAAUGCUUGAUAAACUGGACCAGAUGGAAAAGUGUUUGGAACAAAGCUCAUUUAAUAAGCCUGUGAUGGAAGUUGAUAGUGUUGACUUUAGUGAUUGUCCUCUGCCAAUUCAUAACAUUUAUGAUUCACAAACAUUUGAAGAUAAAAUAUCGGGUGAUCAAAGUUAUAAAAAUCAAUUGAUCACAGAACUUUCUCAUAUAUGAGGAAAAAAUGAGAAAUCAGUUGUCAAAAGACUUAAAACUUUUUUCCGACUGUUUACUAUCAGAGUACUCAUAUACGGGUAAAAAAGGGAAAAAAACAUUUUCAAGUUUAUUUAUAUGCUAUGUUAUUUUUGAAACUAACUCUCGGCAUCAUUGCCAUUGGAAGACAUAAUAUAGUCUAUUUAAUUAUAUUAAAUUACCUAUUAUUCAAAUAUAUAUUAUAAUAUAAUUGCUAGUAUAUUUUAGUGAAGAUACUAUAUACCUAAUAUUUGUUGUAAUUUGAAAUUGUUUCUUAUGAAAUGUUAUAUCUAUACUCCAUUCAUAUUAAGAAGGAACCUAAGUGGUUUUCAUCGGGCAGUAGUGAGGAAACACCCGUUUGUCCCUCCCCACCAAGUCAACUUCCAUGCGCUCAAAUUGGCCGCUAUAGGUUCCUUCUUAACAUGAAUGGAGGUAUAUUAGUGUCACUAGUAUAAUAAUAUAUUCUACCACUCCUAAAAAUGUUGUAUUAAUUCCUAAUUUUUAUUUUUAUGUUAUUCAUUAUACUACCUAGGUAUACACCAUAGAAAUAUUAUAUAAUAACUAGAUAGAUAUGUUACAUUAAAAAUGGCAAUAUUUACAAAAUAACUCAAUAGAUAAGAUACCUUUAUUAAUAAUAUUGUUUAUUGUCAUAAAAAAAUAUUUACAUUAAGAUAGAUACAACAAAAACUAAAAAGUAGAUUCAGCUUAUGACGUUGC